GGGUUGUGAGGUUAAGCGACUAAGCGUACACGGUGGAUGCCCUGGCAGUCAGAGGCGAUGAAGGACGUGCUAAUCUGCGAUAAGCGUCGGUAAGGUGAUAUGAACCGUUAUAACCGGCGAUUUCCGAAUGGGGAAACCCAGUGUGAUUCGUCACACUAUCAUUAACUGAAUCCAUAGGUUAAUGAGGCGAACCGGGGGAACUGAAACAUCUAAGUACCCCGAGGAAAAGAAAUCAACCGAGAUUCCCCCAGUAGCGGCGAGCGAACGGGGAGCAGCCCAGAGCCUGAAUCAGUGUGUGUGUUAGUGGAAGCGUCUGGAAAGGCGCGCGAUACAGGGUGACAGCCCCGUACACAAAAAUGCACAUGCUGUGAGCUCGAUGAGUAGGGCGGGACACGUGGUAUCCUGUCUGAAUAUGGGGGGACCAUCCUCCAAGGCUAAAUACUCCUGACUGACCGAUAGUGAACCAGUACCGUGAGGGAAAGGCGAAAAGAACCCCGGCGAGGGGAGUGAAAAAGAACCUGAAACCGUGUACGUACAAGCAGUGGGAGCACAGAGCAAUCUGUGUGACUGCGUACCUUUUGUAUAAUGGGUCAGCGACUUAUAUUCUGUAGCAAGGUUAACCGAAUAGGGGAGCCGAAGGGAAACCGAGUCUUAACUGGGCGUUAAGUUGCAGGGUAUAGACCCGAAACCCGGUGAUCUAGCCAUGGGCAGGUUGAAGGUUGGGUAACACUAACUGGAGGACCGAACCGACUAAUGUUGAAAAAUUAGCGGAUGACUUGUGGCUGGGGGUGAAAGGCCAAUCAAACCGGGAGAUAGCUGGUUCUCCCCGAAAGCUAUUUAGGUAGCGCCUCGUGAAUUCAUCUCCGGGGGUAGAGCACUGUUUCGGCAAGGGGGUCAUCCCGACUUACCAACCCGAUGCAAACUGCGAAUACCGGAGAAUGUUAUCACGGGAGACACACGGCGGGUGCUAACGUCCGUCGUGAAGAGGGAAACAACCCAGACCGCCAGCUAAGGUCCCAAAGUCAUGGUUAAGUGGGAAACGAUGUGGGAAGGCCCAGACAGCCAGGAUGUUGGCUUAGAAGCAGCCAUCAUUUAAAGAAAGCGUAAUAGCUCACUGGUCGAGUCGGCCUGCGCGGAAGAUGUAACGGGGCUAAACCAUGCAC
rnacentral:rRNA from 1 species